UUAUUUAUAUUAGUUAAUUUUUACAUACUACAAAUAUUUAUAAUACGACAAUGUAUCUUUUUUUGAGCCAUAUUAGACACUAAAUAUCUUGGAAAGAAGACAAAUACUACCAUCUCAUAUAGAAUUAGAUAAUAAUGAAGAAUUCAAAAUAGAAGAAGUCUCAGAUUCAAGGUCGUACUGAUUUAAAUUGGAAUAUUUUAUUUAUUGAUAUAAAUACAAUAUUAGCAAACACACAUAGAAGUUAUCAAAAAAUCUUAUAAAUGUAGCAAUGAAGAUCAAAUUUUUUCAUCAACAACAUCUAUUAAAAUGAAGAUGAAGGAUAAUAAACCUUU
rnacentral:lncRNA from 1 species